CACCUCAACACUACACACUGACACCCACCUCAACACUACACACCCACCUCAACUCCAUACACUGACACCCACCUCAACUCCAUACACUGACACCCACCUCAAAACACAAACAACAAAACAUGCUCUUUAUUAUAAACUGACCUUUGGUUCUCGUUCCUCAAUAUAGAACACCAUCUCCAGGAUACCUUAUCAGAGGGAUUUUCACCAAGACAGACACCAAGCCUGCUGCCACCUCAUCUACAUUCAAUAGCUUGAGUGUGUCAACAUCCAGCUUCACCAAGAGGCCUUCAGAGAGCUACAAGAGAAUAGCUCCUCACACAGUGCGUCCCACCUCAAACCUCCCAGUUCAAACUGAGGACCAGCUGUCCCCAGAGGAGAAGGAGAAACGAGAGGAAGCAGCCAUGGAUGUGCUCAGGACUUCUUCAGCCCGACAACGCUCCUACGUUCUCUCAGCUGUCAACAAAUACGAUUCUACAGAGAAACCAACAGAAACCUCCCUGACCCCAGAUGUUUCAUCUUUUGUGGCUAAAAG